rnacentral:misc_RNA from 1 species
AACGCACAUUGCGCUCCCUGGUAUUCCGGGGAGCAUGCUCGUUUCAGAAUCAUUAACAUUCUCAAAAACACGGUCUGAACCUUCGGGGGAUGCCGUUACUCUUUCGGAUGUGAGCCCUUUUGCUGCAAGGCAAUGGCUUGAAAAUGAUUGUGUUUGCAACCGGCCUCCUUGGUUCGGUUCUCUCAAGUGCAACAGAUGUUAGCUCAUUCGUUACCUCUUGAUGAGAAGCGAUUCCAUUGUCCGGAUGAUCUUACACUCAACCAAAAUACACUCUCAGUGAUUCGAAGGGAUCACUGUUUGAUAACUUGGUCUGAAAUCGAGCAAGAAAACCCGCUGAACUUAA